GAUGAACGCUGGCGGCGUGCCUAAUACAUGCAAGUCGAGCGAACAGAUGAGGAGCUUGCUCCUCUGACGUUAGCGGCGGACGGGUGAGUAACACGUGGAUAACCUACCUAUAAGACUGGGAUAACUUCGGGAAACCGGAGCUAAUACCGGAUAAUAUAUUGAACCGCAUGGUUCAAUAGUGAAAGACGGUUUUGCUGUCACUUAUAGAUGGAUCCGCGCCGCAUUAGCUAGUUGGUAAGGUAACGGCUUACCAAGGCAACGAUGCGUAGCCGACCUGAGAGGGUGAUCGGCCACACUGGAACUGAGCCACGGUCCAGACUCCUACGGGAGGCAGCAGUAGGGAAUCUUCCGCAAAGGGCGAAAGCCUGACGGAGCAACGCCGCGUGAGUGAUGAAGGUCUUCGGAUCGUAAAACUCUGUUAUUAGGGAAGAACAAAUGUGUAAGUAACUAUGCACGUCUUGACGGUACCUAAUCAGAAAGCCACGGCUAACUACGUG
rnacentral:rRNA from 1 species